UGCCCCUUAGCCAAGCGGGAAGGCAGCGGACUUUGAAUCCGCGAUCCUUGGUUCGAUCCCAAGGGGGGCAGCCA
rnacentral:tRNA from 1 species